AUACGGAGGGUGCAAGCGUUAUCCGGAUUUAUUGGGUUUAAAGGGUUCGUAGGCGGACAAGUCAGUCAGUGGUGAAAGCCUGUGGCUCAACCAUAGAACUGCCAUUGAUACUGCUUGUCUCGAGUACACUUGAAGUGGGCGGAAUGAGUUAUGUAGCGGUGAAAUGCAUAGAUAUAACUUAGAACACCGAUUGCGAAGGCAGCUCACUAAAUUGUAACUGACGCUGAGGAACGAAAGCGUGGGGAGCGAACAGGAUUAGAAACCCUAGUAGUCC
rnacentral:rRNA from 1 species